GACAGAGGGUGCAACCGUUGUUCGGAAUUACUGGGCGUAAAGCGCGUGUAGGCUGCUCGGAAAGUCGGAUGUGAAAGCCCUGGGCUUAACCCAGGAAGUGCAUUCGAAACUCCCGAGCUUGAGUCUCGGAGAGGAAGGCGGAAUUCCAGGUGUAGCGGUGAAAUGCGUAGAUAUCUGGAGGAACACCGGUGGCGAAGGCGGCAUCCUGGACCGGCAUUGACGCUGAGGAGCGAAAGCCAGGGGAGCAAACGGG
rnacentral:rRNA from 1 species